GUCCCUCCCUGUCUAUUCUGCAGUAAGUGACAUCCCCCAGUACUCCCAGCUGGUGCUGAAUGUCUGUGAGACCCUCCAAGAGGAAGUGAUUGCACUCUUCGACCAGACCCGCCACAGUCUGGCAUUAGGCAGUGCCACAGAGGACAAGGACAGCAUGGAGACUGACGACUGUUCUCGGUCCCGGCACAGGGACCAGCGUGAUGGGGUGUGUGUCCUGGGCCUGCACCUGGCCAAGGAGCUGUGUGAGGUAGACGAGGAUGGUGACUCCUGGCUGCAGGUAACCCGCAGGCUCCCCAUCCUACCCACCCUCCUCACCACUCUAGAGGUGAGCCUUCGCAUGAAGCAGAACCUGCAUUUCACUGAGGCCACACUGCAUCUGCUUCUCACCCUGGCUCGCACUCAGCAGGUAGGAGGCCAGCCCGAAGGCAGGAGGCAGCGUCCUUGCUUGCCUGGGUGGGUUCUGACAAUCCCAGAAGCUGUGAUCUAGCCUGAGAGCCCUACCUACUCUGGGCAGGGCAGGGGCAGGCUCCAUCUCAUUCCCUGUCUUUCCCUCCUCCCAGGGAGCCAC
rnacentral:sRNA from 1 species